AUUGAACGCUGGCGGCAGGCUUAACACAUGCAAGUCGAACGGGGUGAUGGUGCUUGCACUAUCACUUAGCGGCGGACGGGUGAGUAAUGCUUAGGAAUCUGCCUAUUAGUGGGGGGCAACAUCUCGAAAGGGAUGCUAAUACCGCAUACGUCCUACGGGAGAAAGCAGGGGAUCACUUGUGACCUUGCGCUAAUAGAUGAGCCUAAGUCGGAUUAGCUAGUUGGUGGGGUAAAGGCCUACCAAGGCGACGAUCUGUAGCGGGUCUGAGAGGAUGAUCCGCCACACUGGGACUGAGACACGGCCCAGACUCCUACGGGAGGCAGCAGUGGGGAAUAUUGGACAAUGGGGGGAACCCUGAUCCAGCCAUGCCGCGUGUGUGAAGAAGGCCUUAUGGUUGUAAAGCACUUUAAGCGAGGAGGAGGCUCUUUUGGUUAAUACCCAAGAUGAGUGGACGUUACUCGCAGAAUAAGCACCGGCUAACUCUGUGCCAGCAGCCGCAGUAA
rnacentral:rRNA from 1 species